CGGAGGCAGUUGAUGUUUCAAACAAAAGGUUUCUCAUCGCACCUGCUUCAGUCUUCAAAGGAUUUUUACUUUUCGUUCUUUUGUGUCGAACAAGUCUGCAGAUCAAGUAUGUCAGAAUUAAGCCAGGGUAUACUUAUAGAUAUUUUGGACGAGGAAUGGAUGAGAGACACUCUUCCAGAUGACGAGCUUCAAUUGCCACCAGUGGUUGAUCGGCCUGAUGAUGCUGAAGACUCAAAUCAGGAGACUCAGCAAAAGAAUGAAGAUGCUUGGCAUGAUCUUGCAGUGGGGUCUCAGUGAGACUAUAGGAUGUGAAGUGUGAUCUUGCAGUGGACCCUUUUAAGGUUUCUGAUGUUUGUGAUGUUAGUUUCUAGUUCUGAGUUGUACCCAAGCACUGAUGUUUGAGUUGGAAAAUAAGGGUGCAGGAUCAGAAUAUUUAAGGUGCUGUACACUAGUAGCAAUGGUUGAAAACGGAGUAGGAGCUUUUGAAUUUGUUGACUUUGUGAAAUUUAGAGGAGUUCGUACUCUCUUAAACCAAGUGAUCAAAUAGUUUAGUUUAAUUAAAUAUUUCCUUGUUACAGUAAAAAUUUUAGCAUUAGAUUAAAUGUAUAAAGGAAAAUGAUAGAGUUACCGAAAGUUACACACCGAAUUUGUGCACCGAAUGACGUUGUAAAA